AGUGAACGCUGGCGGUAGGCCUAACACAUGCCAGUCGAACGGCAGCACAGUAAGAGCUUGCUCUUACGGGUGGCGAGUGGCGGACGGGUGAGGAAUACAUCGGAAUCUACUUUUUCGUGGGGGAUAACGUAGGGAAACUUACGCUAAUACCGCAUACGACCUACGGGUUAAAGCAGGGGAUCUUCGGACCUUUCGCGAUUGAAUGAGCCGAUGUCGGAUUAGCUAGUUGGCGGGGUAAAGGCCCACCAAGGCGACGAUGCGUAGCUGGUCUGAGAGGAUGAUCAGCCACACUGGAACUGAGACACGGUCCAGACUCCUACGGGAGGCAGCAGUGGGGAAUAUUGGACAAUGGGCGAAAGCCUGAUGCAGCCAUACCGCGUGGGUGAAGAAGGCCUUCGGGUUGUAAAGCCCUUUUGUUGGGAAAGAAAAGCAGCAGGUGAAUACCCCGCCGUUUUGACGGUACCCAAAGAAUAAGCCACGGCUAACUUCGUG
rnacentral:rRNA from 1 species